rfam:Colius striatus contig66194, whole genome shotgun sequence.
UGCUGUGAUGAUGUAAUUUGCGUCUUACCCGGUGUCCAGCGACAGUUGCCUGCUGUCAGCCUGCUGGCACUGCUGAGCUGCAGACCCCUUCAUUCUGAGCA